ACGAACGCUGGCGGCGUGCUUAACCCCUGCAAGUCGCACGGUAAGGCUCCAGCUUGCUGGGGUACACGAGUGGCGAACGGGUGAGUAACACGUGGGUGACCUGCCCUGCACUUCGGGAUAAGCCUGGGAAACUGGGUCUAAUACCGGAUAGGACCGCACCGUGAGGGUGUGGUGGAAAGUUUUUUCGGUGUGGGAUGGGCCCGCGGCCUAUCAGCUUGUUGGUGGGGUAAUGGCCUACCAAGGCGGCGACGGGUAGCCGGCCUGAGAGGGUGGACGGCCACAUUGGGACUGAGACACGGCCCAGACUCCUACGGGAGGCAGCAGUGGGGAAUAUUGCACAAUGGGCGGAAGCCUGAUGCAGCGACGCCGCGUGGGGGAUGACGGCCUUCGGGUUGUAAACUCCUUUCACCAUCGACGAAGGGUUUCUGACGGUAGAUGGAGAAGAAGCACCGGCUAACUACGUG
rnacentral:rRNA from 1 species